UUAGAAUGGGAAUUCUAUGAAUUUGCAAGGACAAUGAAUAGAGAUCUUUAUUGCCCAGCAGUUAUAUCUAAAACUUGUAGAAAUAUCGCGCCAGAAGGAGAAACACCUGUUUUGGGAUGUAAACCAGCGGAUUUGGAAUGUGUAGUUAAUGGGCUUGAUUCUUUCAAAAUGAAGAUCGACAGAGAUAUAAAGACAUUAAAAGCUAUAGAAGGAAAUUAGAUAAAUGAAGAAUCCGUGAAACAAUAAAAUUAUAUAUAAAUUGUUAUUUUAAAAUCUUAAACUGUCGUAAUUAUGAUAUUAUUAAAACAUGGGAUCCGCUUUAUAACAAUUUUUUUAAUAGA